AAUCAACGCUGGCGGCGUGCCUAACACAUGCAAGUCGAACGCGGUUGCCCCGCAAGGGGGUAACUGAGUGGCGAACGGGUGAGUAACACGUGGGUGACCUACCUUCGAGUGGGGGAUAACGUCCCGAAAGGGACGCUAAUACCGCAUAACAUCCUGCCUUUGAACAGGUGGUGAUCAAAGCCGGGGACCGCAAGGCCCGGCGCUUGAUGAGGGGCCCGCGUCCGAUUAGCUAGUUGGUGAGGUAACGGCUCACCAAGGCAACGAUCGGUAGCCGGCCUGAGAGGGCGGACGGCCACACUGGGACUGAGACACGGCCCAGACUCCUACGGGAGGCAGCAGUGGGGAAUUGUUCGCAAUGGGCGCAAGCCUGACGACGCAACGCCGCGUGGAGGAUGAAGGUCUUCGGAUUGUAAACUCCUG
rnacentral:rRNA from 1 species